rnacentral:rRNA from 1 species
CCAAACCAACAAGCUUGCUUGUUGGGGUUGUAGGACACUCUAUACGGAGUUACAAAGGACGACAUUAGACGAAUCAUCUGGAAAGAUGAAUCAAAGAAGGUAAUAAUCCUGUAGUCGAAAAUGUUGUCUCUCUUGAGUGGAUCCUGAGUACGACGGAGCACGUGAAAUUCCGUCGGAAUCUGGGAGGACCAUCUCCUAAGGCUAAAUACUCUCUAGUGACCGAUAGUGAACCAGUACCGUGAGGGAAAGGUGAAAAGCACCCCGGAAGGGGAGUGAAAUAGAACCUGAAACCGUGUGCUUACAAGUAGUCAGAGCCCGUUAAUGGGUGAUGGCGUGCCUUUUGUAGAAUGAACCGGCGAGUUACGAUUUGAUGCAAGGUUAAGCAGUAAAUGUGGAGCCGUAGCGAAAGCGAGUCUGAAUAGGGCGUUUAGUAUUUGGUCGUAGACCCGAAACCAGGUGAUCUACCCUUGGUCAGGUUGAAGUUCAGGUAACACUGAAUGGAGGACCGAACCGACUUACGUUGAAAAGUGAGCGGAUGAACUGAGGGUAGCGGAGAAAUUCCAAUCGAACCUGGAGAUAGCUGGUUCUCUCCGAAAUAGCUUUAGGGCUAGCCUCAAGUGAUGAUUAUUGGAGGUAGAGCACUGUUUGGACGAGGGGCCCCUCUCGGGUUACCGAAUUCAGACAAACUCCGAAUGCCAAUUAAUUUAACUUGGGAGUCAGAACAUGGGUGAUAAGGUCCGUGUUCGAAAGGGAAACAGCCCAGACCACCAGCUAAGGUCCCAAAAUAUAUGUUAAGUGGAAAAGGAUGUGGCGUUGCCCAGACAACUAGGAUGUUGGCUUAGAAGCAGCCAUCAUUUAAAGAGUGCGUAAUAGCUCACUAGUCGAGUGACACUGCGCCGAAAAUGUACCGGGGCUAAACAUAUUACCGAAGCUGUGGAUUGUCCUUUGGACAAUGGUAGGAGAGCGUUCUAAGGGCGUUGAAGCAUGAUCGUAAGGACAUGUGGAGCGCUUAGAAGUGAGAAUGCCGGUGUGAGUAGCGAAAGACGGGUGAGAAUCCCGUCCACCGAUUGACUAAGGUUUCCAGAGGAAGGCUCGUCCGCUCUGGGUUAGUCGGGUCCUAAGCUGAGGCCGACAGGCGUAGGCGAUGGAUAACAGGUUGAUAUUCCUGUACCACCUAUAAUCGUUUUAAUCGAUGGGGGGACGCAGUAGGAUAGGCGAAGCGUGCGAUUGGAUUGCACGUCUAAGCAGUAAGGCUGAGUAUUAGGCAAAUCCGGUACUCGUUAAGGCUGAGCUGUGAUGGGGAGGAGACAUUGUGUCUUCGAGUCGUUGAUUUCACACUGCCGAGAAAAGCCUCUAGAUAGAAAAUAGGUGCCCGUACCGCAAACCGACACAGGUAGUCAAGAUGAGAAUUCUAAGGUGAGCGAGCGAACUCUCGUUAAGGAACUCGGCAAAAUGACCCCGUAACUUCGGGAGAAGGGGUGCUCUUUAGGGUUAACGCCCAGAAGAGCCGCAGUGAAUAGGCCCAAGCGACUGUUUAUCAAAAACACAGGUCUCUGCUAAACCGUAAGGUGAUGUAUAGGGGCUGACGCCUGCCCGGUGCUGGAAGGUUAAGAGGAGUGGUUAGCUUCUGCGAAGCUACGAAUCGAAGCCCCAGUAAACGGCGGCCGUAACUAUAACGGUCCUAAGGUAGCGAAAUUCCUUGUCGGGUAAGUUCCGACCCGCACGAAAGGCGUAACGAUUUGGGCACUGUCUCAACGAGAGACUCGGUGAAAUCAUAGUACCUGUGAAGAUGCAGGUUACCCGCGACAGGACGGAAAGACCCCGUGGAGCUUUACUGUAGCCUGAUAUUGAAAUUCGGCACAG